rnacentral:rRNA from 1 species
UUGGUGGGGUGAUGGCCUACCAAGGCGACGACGGGUAGCCGGCCUGAGAGGGUGUCCGGCCACACUGGGACUGAGAUACGGCCCAGACUCCUACGGGAGGCAGCAGUGGGGAAUAUUGCACAAUGGGCGCAAGCCUGAUGCAGCGACGCCGCGUGGGGGAUGACGGCCUUCGGGUUGUAAACCUCUUUCACCAUCGGCGAAGCCGGGAGCUUUUGUUUCUGGUGACGGUAGGUGGAGAAGAAGCACCGGCCAACUACGUGCCAGCAGCCGCGGUAAUACGUAGGGUGCGAGCGUUGUCCGGAAUUACUGGGCGUAAAGAGCUCGUAGGUGGUUUGUCGCGUUGUCCGUGAAAUUCCCUGGCUUAACUGGGGGCG